UACGAAGGGGGCUAGCGUUGCUCGGAAUCACUGGGCGUAAAGGGUGCGUAGGCGGGUUUUUAAGUCAGAGGUGAAAUCCUGGAGCUCAACUCCAGAACUGCCUUUGAUACUGAAAGUCUUGAGUAUGGGAGAGGUGAGUGGAACUGCGAGUGUAGAGGUGAAAAUUCGUAGAUAUUCGCAAAGAACACCAGUGGCGAAGGCGGCUCACUGGCCCAUAACUGACGCUGAGGCACGAAAAGCGUGGGGGAGCAAACAGGG
rnacentral:rRNA from 1 species